rnacentral:rRNA from 1 species
CAGCGACUUAACUGAACCUUCGGGGAACGUUAAGGGCGGCGAGCGGCGGACGGGUGAGUAAUGCCUGGGAAUAUGCCCUGAUGUGGGGGAUAACUAUUGGAAACGAUAGCUAAUACCGCAUAAUCUCUUCGGAGCAAAGAGGGGGACCUUCGGGCCUCUCGCGUCAGGAUUAGCCCAGGUGGGAUUAGCUUGUUGGUGAGGUAAUGGCUCACCAAGGCAACGAUCCCUAGCUGGUCUGAGAGGAUGAUCAGCCACACUGGAACUGAGACACGGUCCAGACUCCUACGGGAGGCAGCAGUGGGGAAUAUUGCACAAUGGGGGAAACCCUGAUGCAGCCAUGCCGCGUGUGUGAAGAAGGCCUUCGGGUUGUAAAGCACUUUCAGUAGGGAGGAAGGUAGUGUAGUUAACACCUGCAUUAUUUGACGUUACCUACAGAAGAAGCACCGGCUAACUCCGUG